rnacentral:rRNA from 1 species
AUCAACGCUGGCGGCGGGUGCCUAACACAUGCAAGUCGAACGAGAAAGUGGAGCAAUCCAUGAGUAAAGUGGCGACCGGGUGAGUAACACGUGGACUACCUACCCUAGAGUGGGGAAUAACCUUCGGGAAAACCGGGGCUUAAUUUACCGCCAUAACAUCGCGAGGGGGGGAAGAUCCUUGUGAUCAAAGGAGCAAUUCGCUCAAGGAGGGGGUCGCGGCUGAUUAGCUAGUUGGUUGAGGUAACGGCCCCACCAAGGCCAAAGAAUCAGUAUCCGGCCUGAAGAGGGGCGCAACGGACACACUGGAACUGAAACACGGUCCAGACUCCUACGGGAGGCAGCAGUGGGGAAUUUUGCCGCAAUGGGGGAAACCCUGACGCAGCAAACGCCCGCGUGGAGGAUGAAGUCCCUUGGGAUGUAAACUCCUUUUCGAUCGGGGACGAUUAGUGACGGUACCGGAAGAAGAAGCACCGGGCUAACUCUGUGCCAGCAAGCCGCGGUAAUACAGAGGGUGCAAGCGUUGUUUCGGGAAUUAUUGGGCGUAAAGGGCCGCGUAGGCGGUGCUGUAAGUCUGUAGGUGAAAUCUCUGGGCUCAACUCAGAGUUCUGCCAUAGAAACUGCAGUGCUGGAGUGUGGGAGGGAGGUGAGUGGAAUUCCGGUGUAGCGGUUGAAAUGCGUAGAUAUCGGGAGGAACCACCUGUGGCGAAAGCGGCCUCACUGGACCACAACUGACGCUGAUGCGCGAAAAGGCUAGGGGGAGCAAACAGGAUUAGAUACCCUGGUAGUCCUAGCCCUAAACGAUGAUUGCUUGGUGUGUCGGGUACCCAAUCCCGCCGUGCCGAAAGCUAACCGCGAUAAGCAAUCCGCCUGGGGAGUAUGCGGUCGCAAGACUGAAACUCAAAGGAAUUGACGGGGGCCCGCACAAGCGGUGGAACAUGUGGUUCAAUUUCGACGCAACGCGAAGAAACCUUACCUGGGCUCGAAAUGUAGUGGACCGGGGUUGGAAACAUCCCUUCCCGCAAGGGCUGCUAUAUAGGUGCUGCAUGGCUGUCCGUCAGCUCGUGUCGUGAGAUGUUGGGUUAAGUCCCGCAACGAGUGCAACCCUUAUUGUCAGUUUGCCAUCAUUCAGUUGGGCACUUCUGGCGAAAAACCGCCUCGGAUAACGGGGAGGGAAGGUGGGGAUGACGUCAAGUCCUCAUGGCCUUUAUGUCCAGGGCUACACACGUGCUACAAUGGUCGGUACAAAACCGUCGCAAAACCCGCGAGGGGGAGCUAAUCGGAAAAAGCCGACCUCAGUUCGGAUUGGAGUCUGCAACUCGACUCCAUGAAGCUGGAAUCGCUAGUAAUUGCGGAUCCAGAACGCCGCGGUGAAUACGGUUUCCCGGGCCUUGUACACACCGCCCGUCACAUUCACGAAAGUGGGCUGUACUAGAAGCCGGUGGGCUAACCCGCAAGGAAGCAGCCCGUCCAAGGUAUAACUCAUGAUUGGGGUG